AGAGUUUGAUCCUGGCUCAGGAUGAACGCUGGCGGUCUGCUUAACACAUGCAAGUCGAACGAAUCCCUUCGGGGAUGAGUGGCGGACGGGUGAGUAACGCGUGAGAAUCUACCAAAAGGACUGGGACAACCACUGGAAACGGUGGCUAAUACCGGAUGAGCCGCAACGUAAAAGAGGAAACUCGCCUUUUGAAGAGCUCGCGUCUGAUUAGCUAGUUGGUGAGGUAAAGGCUCACCAAGGCGGCGAUCAGUAGCUGGUCUGAGAGGAUGAUCAGCCACACUGGGACUGAGACACGGCCCAGACUCCUACGGGAGGCAGCAGUGGGGAAUUUUCCGCAAUGGGCGAAAGCCUGACGGAGCAAGACCGCGUGAGGGAGGAAGGCUCUUGGGUUGUAAACCUCUUUUGUCAGGGAAGAACACAAUGACGGUACCUGAAGAAUCAGCAUCGGCUAACUCCGUGCCAGCAGCCGCGGUAAUACGGAGGAUGCAAGCGUUAUCCGGAAUUAUUGGGCGUAAAGCGUCCGCAGGUGGCACUUCAAGUCUGCUGUCAAAGACCGGGGCUUAACCCUGGAAAGGCAGUGGAAACUGAAGCGCUAGAGUGUGGCAGGGGUAGAGGGAAUUCCCGGUGUAGCGGUGAAAUGCGUAGAGAUCGGGAAGAACAUCGGUGGCGAAAGCGCUCUGCUGGACCAUAACUGACACUCAGGGACGAAAGCUAGGGGAGCGAAUGGGAUUAGAUACCCCAGUAGUCC
rnacentral:rRNA from 1 species